GACGAACGCUGGCGGCGUGCUUAACACAUGCAAGUCGAACGGUAAGGCCCUUCGGGGUACACGAGUGGCGAACGGGUGAGUAACACGUGGGUGAUCUGCCCUGCACUUCGGGAUAAGCCUGGGAAACUGGGUCUAAUACCGGAUAGGACCACUGCCUGCAUGGGGGGUGGGGGAAAGCUUUUGCGGUGUGGGAUGGGCCCGCGGCCUAUCAGCUUGUUGGUGGGGUGAUGGCCUACCAAGGCGACGACGGGUAGCCGGCCUGAGAGGGUGACCGGCCACACUGGGACUGAGAUACGGCCCAGACUCCUACGGGAGGCAGCAGUGGGGAAUAUUGCACAAUGGGCGCAAGCCUGAUGCAGCGACGCCGCGUGAGGGAUGACGGCCUUCGGGUUGUAAACCUCUUUCAGCACCGACGAAGCGCAAGUGACGGUAGGUGCAGAAGAAGGACCGGCCAACUACGUGCCAGCAGCCGCGGUAACAC
rnacentral:rRNA from 1 species